rnacentral:rRNA from 1 species
UACGUAGGGAGCAAGCGUUAUCCGGAUUUAUUGGGUGUAAAGGGUGCGUAGACGGGAUUACAAGUUGGUUGUGAAACCCCUCAGCUCAACUGAGGAACUGCAACCAAAACUAUAAUUCUUGAGUGCAGGAGAGGAAAGUGGAAUUCCUAGUGUAGCGGUGAAAUGCGUAGAUAUUAGGAAGAACACCGGUGGCGAAAGCGGCUCUCUGGCCUGUAACUGACACUGAGGCUCGAAAGCGUGGGGAGCAAACAGG